CUGCAGUCGAGAAUCUUUCGCAAUGGGCGAAAGCCUGACAAAGCGACGCCGUGUGUCUGAUGAAGGCCUUCGGGUUGUAAAGUACUUUCGCUAGGGAACAAGAAAGAUUGGCUAAUAUCCGGUCGAUUUGAGGGUACCUGGUAAAGAAGCACCGGCUAACUCC
rnacentral:rRNA from 1 species